rnacentral:rRNA from 1 species
AACAAACGCUGGCGGCGUGCCUAAUACAUGCAAGUCGAACGGGGAAAGUAGCAAUAUGAGUACUAGUGGCGCACGGGUGAGGAAUACAUGGGUAAUCUGCCUUCAAGUUUGGGAUAACCAGUCGAAAGAUUGGCUAAUACCGGAUAAGACCACAUGAACUGCGGUUCAAGAGGUCAAAGGUUUUUCGCUUGAAGAUGAGCCCAUGUGGGAUUAGCUAGUUGGUGAGGUAAUGGCUCACCAAGGCGACGAUCCCUAACUGGUCUUAGAGGAUGAUCAGUCAAACUGGAACUGGGACACGGUCCAGACUCCUACGGGAGGCAGCAGUAGGGAAUAUUGCGCAAUGGGGGAAACCCUGACGCAGCGACGCCGCGUGAGUGAUGAAGGCCUUCGGGUCGUAAAGCUCUGUCGUAUGGGACUAACAAAAUGAAGGUACCAUGCAAGAAAGGAUCGGCUAACUUCGUGCCAGCCGCCGCGGUAA